CCUACGGGAGACAGCAGUGAGGAAUAUUGGUCAAUGGGCGCGAGCCUGAAGCAGCCAAGUCGCGUGAGGGAAGACGGUCCUAGGGAUGGUAAACGUCUUUUGUCGGGGAGCAAAAGACGACACGCGUGGCGUUCCGAGAGUACCCGAAGAAAAAGCAUCGGGUAACUCCGUGCCAGCAGCCGCGGUAAGACGGAGGAUGCGAGCGUUAUCCGGAUUUAUUGGGUUUAAAGGGUGCGGAGGCGGAAGUUCAAGUCAGGGGUAAAAUUGCGACGCUCAACCUCUUCGAGCCGUUGAAACUGGUUGUCUUGAGUUAGCGAGAAGUAUGCGGAAUUCGUGGUGUAGCGGUGAAAUGCAUAGAUAUCACGAAGAACUCCGAUUGCGAAGGCAGCAUACCGGCGCUAUACUGACGCUGAUGCACGAAAGUGUGGGUAUCGAACAGGAUUAGAUACCCGGGUAGUC
rnacentral:rRNA from 1 species